rnacentral:lncRNA from 1 species
CAGGAAAGGCCCCAGGAAGUAGAGAAAUGGAUAGUAAAGCCAGACGCUCUGAGUGGUGGACUGCUCUUCCCUCCCGCCUCCUGCCUUCCCUUCCUGGUUUCUCCCUCCUUCCUCCUUCCUCCACGAUUUCUCUUCCUCAGCUCUGCUUUCUCUCUCCUUUCUUUCUUGGGAGUUUCCAUUUUGAAAAUGUGAAAGUAAGAUGGGACAGAAAACCCACCCCGUGUUUCCUUAUCCAAAUUGCAUGAAUGGGCUGGUGGUCAAAGGCCCAGUCUGGUCUAGACCUGCUGACCCCUGAGCCCUCGCUCCCAGGUUUCUGCUGGACACUUCUGUGCUGCAGAGGUUGAUGGAGAACUGGCUUCCUUCUGGCAUUGGCGGAUCUGGGCAUUUCCACUGUGAGGGGCACAUUGCAUCGACAUCUAAUUACGGGGGGCGACAGAAAAGACACAUGAAUUGCAAGAUGUCCCAAUAGUUUGUGUUGCCUUUAGUGAACACAAAUGGUUUCUGCAUUUUAAAAAACGUGCCUGGGAGAACUGGGUCAAUGAUUUACCACAGAUGGGGAAAAGUCCUUUUGCUAAUUUGAGACUAGGAAAAUGCAAUCCAGUCACUGCAUUUUGAAUUCACAGACAAAGAGCUAGAGGUCCUCUACCCUGGAGACUACUUUCUGACCACUGAACUCUGUUUCAGUACCGACGAGGGCUGCGGCGUGCGCUAGGGCGCUCCUUGGGUUUACAGCACACCGCUCACAGCCGGAGCCUGUGCCAGGCACGAGGGGUGCCGAGAGGGGCUAGAUCCUUUGGCACAAGCUGAAGCUACAAAACCGCUUUGCAGGAAGAGAUUGGGUGUGAGGAAAUACUCCGUACAAAAGAGACUACCUCUUGGAGUAAGAAAAGGAAAGAGAUCAGGGAACGUGAGAUGGAAUUCUACCCAUAUUGAAUGCUCUUGAUCUUCCUGCACUUCAUCGGAGUGCAGUCCUCUCAUCAGGGAAAGGAGCCCGCAUGCUUUUGCCGAUGCUUCAGAUGGAAAGCCCAGCAGCUCUGCCGGGAUGCCGCGUGCCACAUUCCCUGGAGUAGGGGUUCUCAUGCAGGCUCACGACAUCCUAGCCGGGUGACAUCAGGCAAGUUACUUGGCCUCUUUGGGCCUCGGUUUCCACAUGUGUAAAAUGGGAGUAAUAGUAGGUACCAUGGAACUGUAGCAGGAACUUAAUGGGUGAAUAUGUGUCAGCUGUCUCACGUGUCCUCGUAUUGCAUGUCAUUGUCAUCAUCAGCACUUCUAAAGGAAGGGGAGAGGCCUUCUAGGUUGAGGGCCACAGGGGAGGUAGGCCAGGGAGGGGCCCAAGUCAGAGGGCAGAGUCACCCGAGCAAGCUCCUCUACAGAAAAUAACAGACAAAUCUAGUCUGAAUGACUCGCCUUUUGAGUGCCAUCUCUGUGCCAACCGUGGCAGAGGACACAUCAUAAACCUUCUCUUUAAUCCUGACAACAGCCCUGCAUGGCAGACGUGACCAUCCCCAUUUCAUAGAUAGAGAAACUGAGGCUCAGGCGGCCUGGCACCUUGCCGAGGUCACCCUCCAGUCAGUGGAGCGGGGGGAACCGGACCCAAGGUCCUACUCCUUCUACAUGGCACCAUCUCGUCCUCCAGUUCCUAAGUCAGCACCAGCCCUCCCCGGUCACUCACCGGUCCUAGCGGGCCUGGCUCCGGGCACACACGACUUUGCACAGGCAAAAAUAAUUUGCGGUUAAUCAGUGUCUUUGCUUGGAAAGAGUCUUAAAUUUGUUCUACACAGUACACGUAUGAAUCGACGCACCCAUAAAUGAAGUGUACCCUCUGGAACCCCAG